rnacentral:rRNA from 1 species
UGGGGAAUCUUCCGCAAUGGACGAAAGUCUGACGGAGCAACGCCGCGUGAGUGAUGACGGCCUUCGGGUUGUAAAGCUCUGUUAAUCGGGACGAAUGGUUCUUGUGCGAAUAGUGCAAGGAUUUGACGGUACCGGAAUAGAAAGCCACGGCUAACUACGUGCCAGCAGCCGCGGUAAUACGUAGGUGGCAAGCGUUGUCCGGAAUUAUUGGGCGUAAAGCGCGCGCAGGCGGAUUGGUCAGUCUGUCUUAAAAGUUCGGGGCUUAACCCCGUGAUGGGAUGGAAACUGCCAAUCUAGAGGAUCGGAGAGGAAAGUGGAAUUCCUAGUGUAGCGGUGAAAUGCGUAGAUAUUAGGAAGAACACCAGUGGCGAAGGCGACUUUCUGGACGAAAACUGACGCUGAGGCGCGAAAGCCAGGGGAGCGAACGGG